UACAGAGACCCCAAGCGUUAUCCGGUUUUAUUGGGCGUAAAGCGUUCCGAUCGGUUGUUGUGUGUGUCUAAUGUGAAAGACCGUGGCUUAACCACGUGUUUGCAUUAGAAACUACACUACUAGAGGCAUUAAGAGGUAACUGGAACUAUACAAGUAGGGGUGAAAUCCGUUGAUAUGUAUGGGAACACCAAAAGCGAAGGCAGGUUACUGGGAAUGUUCUGACACUGCUAGGACGAAAGCGUGGGUAGCGAUACGG
rnacentral:rRNA from 1 species